AUUGCGAUCUCCCUGAUGAUGGAGGCAGUAAAUACACCCGAAACAUCAGUCAGUUUCAGACUACGCAGUAGGUAACCAUACUGAAAACGAAUGAACGGGGUCUCGAAUAGCCAACAGAGCUCGUACUUCACCUCCGUUUCAAUAAAUUUUGGAAACCUCACGAUAAACUUUUUUCUGCGGGCUUUAUCGAUGUAUUUUUGAUGCUGCAUUAUUUGAGUCGCGACUUCAGGGUGUAUAAAUAGUCAGAAAGGUGGUUUAUGCGACACGACGACACCGGACGGUGUCUGUCAAUAAAGUAAAAUGGCACAGUGCCAAAUUGUCAAUUCGGAGCUGUACAUCGGGGCUCUGGUCUCCCUUCCUUCAGUCGUCCUCGGAGCAGAUGCUGAUUAUUUAUGAAGCAGUUCUAAUGUUGGAGUUAUCUUGGGCCAUGAGGCGGGGAUGCAGUUCUACAGGAUUCGAUUCGAACAUUUUCUUUCCAUCCCUUCUUUGAACGAGGUCGAACGACUUCCGGAAUCGGAAAUGACGAUUCUGUCAUCAUCUUCAGACAAAUGGCGGAAUAUUUAUAAUAUUUAUUUAAAUUGUCAGCGUUAACAAAGCAAGAGGGUUCAUGGAAGGAAAAAGGAUUACAAGAAAUAAGCCGACAGAAGAAAAAAACUGAAAAAAUACAGAUGGAAAGGAGAAAGACUGUUGGCACAAGAAACUUGUCACUCGCGCUCAUUUUAUGCGAAGGUGUGAGGCAGGAAACUGAGGAGAAUCAGCGAACAACGUUCAACAGGCUGCAGUCACAGACCUGGCACCGUGACUCUGCCAGCAGCCAAGGUGACCCUUCAAAGCUGUUUCUGCACGGGACGAGAUGAAAGCCGGUACACUCAUAUAAGUUGUUCUUUUUGUAAAUCUAUCCGAAGGCGUUUUAUCCUCCAAUAGCAUCUUCAUUUGCAUUUAGCUGUGCGCCAUGAUUGCUACUCCGUAUAAACCCUGUCGCCUUAUUGUCCUAAUUCGUGUUCAGAUAUUUUAGGUGAAUCUGAAGAUGGCUGCCUUCUGGGUUGUUGUUGACGAUGAUGAUGAUGGCAGCAGGAACCUCUGAAAGCCAUCUUCAUGGUUAUUCAUUCAGCUGGUCAAUAUACCCGUAUUCACGUUUGUGGAACACAGAAGCGUAUGUCGUUAAUCGAAUUAAAUUCUGCGGUGGCUUACUACUUGCUCAAUCACAAGGAAACUGAUCAAUACUCAUCACCGUCACUCACUUUCUCGCCAACGCGUUUAAGUCUCUGAGACCACUUGCAUGGCGUAAAAUUAUGACUGUACAAAUAUAUCUGAAGACAUACACGGUCUCCCCAAAAAUGUAUACACACAACCAUUACACGUCAGAAUUGUGUAUACUUUUGGGACAACCUGUACAGUCUUACAUAAUUAUUCUUUAAUAAUAAACUAACUCCAUGGAACAGAGCAGUUCUUGAGAAGAUAAUGAUAGCCUACACUCGGCUAGGCAAGAAAUCCCCCUCUGCUUAUAAAACCCUACACCUUGUAAUUGUGUUCACAGAAAACAGCCAGCCGCUCAUAUUCCAAGCCAGAUAAAUCCAAUACACCAACCAACCAUCUUCUUUUACUUGACAUCAGUUUUAAUGUCACAAUCUUCCACCUAGGCACAGGCCUUCCGAGGGAUUUCUUCCCUUCAGGCCGUCAAACCCAACAUUUGUACGCGUUUAUAUUUUUAAUAAUUCAAAUGUUAAUACUACACACAUUUUAGGAAUCUUCAAAUUAUAUCACAAAUUUCUACCGUGCAUAUGCGUAUGUAUACACAGACUACAUACGCAUUUCAGAAUCAUAAUAUUAAAAAUGUCUGGAGAAAACUGACUCAGCAUUAAAACGGGGAGCAACUGUUUCUCCGUGAUCAAGGGUUUCAUGAAGGG